AUCCUGGCUCAGAUUGAACGCUGGCGGCAUGCCUUACACAUGCAAGUCGAACGGUAACAGGUCUUCGGAUGCUGACGAGUGGCGAACGGGUGAGUAAUACAUCGGAACGUGCCCGAUCGUGGGGGAUAACGGAGCGAAAGCUUUGCUAAUACCGCAUACGAUCUACGGAUGAAAGCAGGGGACCGCAAGGCCUUGCGCGGACGGAGCGGCCGAUGGCAGAUUAGGUAGUUGGUGGGAUAAAAGCUUACCAAGCCGACGAUCUGUAGCUGGUCUGAGAGGACGACCAGCCACACUGGGACUGAGACACGGCCCAGACUCCUACGGGAGGCAGCAGUGGGGAAUUUUGGACAAUGGGCGCAAGCCUGAUCCAGCCAUGCCGCGUGCAGGAUGAAGGCCUUCGGGUUGUAAACUGCUUUUGUACGGAACGAAAGACUCCUUCUAAUAAAGGGGGUCCAUGACGGUACCGUAAGAAUAAGCACCGGCUAACUACGUGCCAGCAGCCGCGGUAAUACGUAGGGUGCAAGCGUUAAUCGGAAUUACUGGGCGUAAAGCGUGCGCAGGCGGUUAUAUAAGACAGAUGUGAAAUCCCCGGGCUCAACCUGGGAACUGCAUUUGUGACUGUAUAGCUAGAGUACGGCAGAGGGGGAUGGAAUUCCGCGUGUAGCAGUGAAAUGCGUAGA
rnacentral:rRNA from 1 species